rnacentral:rRNA from 1 species
GUCUACAGCCAUACCACUCUGAAUGUGCCCAAUCUCGUCUGACUUCGGGGAAGCUAAGCAGGGUCAGACCUGCUUAGUAGUUGGAUAGGAGAAAGAAAUGCUUUAUGGGUC